UAAAGUUGUUGCAGUUAAAAAGCUCGUAGUUGGAUUUCUGGCUGGAGCGAUCGGUCCGCCCCGCAAGGGGUGUGUACUAGCGUCGCCUCCGACCAUCCUUGUGGGAACUGUGCGGCCGUUAACUCGGUUGUAUAUGGGAACACAUCGUUUACUGUGAAAAAAUUAGAGUGUUUAAAGCAGGCUUAAGCCGUUGAAUACAUUAGCAUGGAAUAAUAAGAUAAGACUUGGGUCAUUAUUUUGUUGGUUUGCGGAUCGAGGUAAUGAUUAAUAGGGAUAGUUGGGGGUAUUCAUAUUUAAUUGUCAGAGGUGAAAUUCUUGGAUUUAUGAAAGAUGAACUUAGGCGAAAGCAUUUACCAAGGAUGUUUUCAUUAAUCAAGAACGAAAGUUAGGGGAUCGAAGAUGAUUAGAUACCAUCGUAGUCUUAACCAUAAACUAUGCCGACUAGGGAUUGGCGGUCGUUACUUAAUGACUCUGUCAGCACCUUAUGAGAAAUCAAAGUCUUUGGGUUCCGGGGGGAGUAUGGUCGCAAGGCUGAAACUU
rnacentral:rRNA from 1 species